rnacentral:tRNA from 1 species
GCAGUGGUGGUUCAGUGGCAGAAUUCUUGCCUUCCAAGUGGGAAACGCAGGUUCAAUUCCUUGUCAAUGCA